GUAACCUUUCUGCCACGCCGGGCCAAGAUUCAUGUCGUAGCCAUCUUUGGCUCCACCAUUCUGCAAUCACGUUGUUCCUUGACUUUAACGCCUCGACAACAGAUCUCUUGAACGACGCCGUAUCGCUUGGAAUCGUGGGAUUGGAAACUCUUAGAGCGGUCAUCGUGAUUCUUCUUAACGCAUUGCAUACGAGAUAUGGGAAACCGAACUUUGUGGCGAUAAUAAAGGAAAAAGCGAGAAAUGUAAAAGCCAUUGCAAAGAAGAUAUAUCAUAGUAUCAGUUCACUCAAAAAGAAGCGAUAUAAUUGAAAAUUAUGCCAUUGCACAAAGGAGAUAUAUCAUACUGUCAGUAAACUUCAUUAUUCGAGUAUUUGUAAAGUCCACUCAAAAAUGCGCGGACGCUGGAAGCGAGCAGAGUGCCGCGUUAAAAACGAAAGAAGCGUCUGGCGUCACGUAUGCGAAGAAAAGAAGAAAGAAUUUUACCUGCACGCCUAAAUAAAUAAGAAUUCUAGUCUGGCGAGUAUAAAAUCGAAACCGAAAUAUUCGAUUGGAAUCUCUCUCUGUCCACGUCCUGUCAACAAUCUAUGUUUAGAGAAGAAUAAAACCAUCAUCUCUUUCUCUCAUGUACACAUUUCGCAACGAAAACGGGGCCCUCGACGCUAUCUUCGCUCCUCGUUUCAAUUUCAAAAAUUCGACCAUUAUUCGAAUAUUAAUGUACACCGAAAAAGAAAAAAAGGAGGAACGAAUGGCAAAGAAUCGAAAGCGGUUCUAUAUAUCCUUUUUUCCUUUUUCCUCCCGUGUCGAUUCGUAAAACGGAUGCACGGUGGAAGAAACAAUGGGGCCACGAUGAGCGGCGAACGUUAACUGGCUGCUGCGGUUAUUGUUUCGGCGGAGGCAACCCCGUGAUAGGUCACUUCCGCCGAUACCGAAAUCCACAUGGGGCAAAAGUAGAAAAAAAAAAAAAAAAAAGAGAGAGAGAACAAAAAAAUAUCAAUGCGACAUAUUCUACAUA